rnacentral:rRNA from 1 species
UACAGAGGGGGCAAGCGUUGUUCGGAAUUACUGGGCGUAAAGGGCGCGUAGGCGGCCUGUUAAGUCGAACGUGAAAUCCCCGGGCUCAACCCGGGAACUGCGUCCGAUACUGGCAGGCUUGAAUCCGGGAGAGGGAUGCAGAAUUCCAGGUGUAGCGGUGAAAUUCGUAGAUAUCGGGAGGAACACCAGUGGCGAAGGCGGCGACCUGGACAGAUAUUGACGCUGAGGUGCGAAAGCGUGGGGAGCAAACAGG